CCAUCACCUCAAAGGUGUAAGACUUCAACAAAAAAUCAACUUGGAGCAAUUUGCUGAGGAAGUCGCGACACCGAUCUCGAGGUCAUGACUCUAAGCCUUUGAGAUCACAAUUCACUGCUGAUGGUUGAAAUAAAGAAAUUAGGGGCUCUAACAAGGGUGUCACGACACUGAAGCCUAAUAAGUGAAAAACUGCAAGCGUUAUUUUGUGUCUAAACAAACUUAUGUCACUUUUCAUGUAACAGCCUAAUUUUCAGUGGUGUCGGAACAGUGAUUCGAGAUCACUAAAUCCGACAAAUGAGUAGGAAAUAUUAUUAAUUUA
rnacentral:lncRNA from 1 species